rnacentral:rRNA from 1 species
UACGUAGGGUGCAAGCGUUGUCCGGAAUUAUUGGGCGUAAAGAGCUCGUAGGCGGUUUGUCGCGUCUGCUGUGAAAACUCGGGGCUUAACCCCGGGCCUGCAGUGGGUACGGGCAGACUAGAGUGCGGUAGGGGAGACUGGAAUUCCUGGUGUAGCGGUGAAAUGCGUAGAUAUCUGGAGGAAUACCGGUGGCGAAGGCGGCAUCCUGGACCGACAUUGACGCUGAUGAGCGAAAGCUAGGGGAGCAAACGGG